CACACACACACACACACACACACACACACACACACACAGAACAGAGUGCGUCCAGCCACUGCAGGUGUGUGUGUGUCGGUCACUGCUGUGAUGACCUUUGACCUUCAGUGAACACUGAUAAUCACUUUAGUGUCUGAUGAGUGAGACUGCAUCUGCUGUAUGUCUCAUCAACACAAACACGAGUGUGGUUUAUAUCCACGGGCGAGUCAAGUGUACAGAUGGAGGAUCGCAACAUGUUGCGUCUGAUGGAGAGGGAGAGACGCAGUCAGGAGGUGCAGCUGGAGGAGACGCAGUAUGACAGAAUCGCUCCUCUCUUCAACAAGCCGUAUAAGAGAAUCAAAGAUGACGAGCUGUCGAGUCGCAUCCAGACGAUGCUGGGUAAUUAUGAGGAUGGAUAUGAUGGACCUGAGGACGCUGCGCUUCCUUACGAGCGCUCCACGCAGUUCCCUCAGGCGCAGUCAGGACACACGGAUCGCUCCAGAGCCGCCUCCGGCCCUGCUUCAGGAGAGAGCUGGGACAGUUUCCCAGCCCUGUCUCCUCUGCGGUCCAGCGACUCGGACACCGGCCCGUCUCCGGAGCGGCCUCCGCUGAACCUGCACAGUAAACUGGCGAAGGCCAAGAAACCCACAGCGUACGUGAGGCCGAUGGACGGUCCGGAUCAGGUGACCAGCGACUCUCCUGAACUGAAGGCCUCACUGGAGUCGUAUGAGCACUUACAGGACCUGAAGGAGAGCAGCAAACCAAACCUUGCCCCUCUGCAGGCUGCUGAUAUAGUGUCUGGAGCGCGUGUGGAGGACAUUCUGCAGGAAAUGACCUCAUGGCCUCCACUGCUGACGACCAUUUGCUCGCCAACCACAGCCGAGCCGCCCAAGGUCCUCUCCACUAACGAGGAGACACAUGGAUUACCGGCCCUCGAAGCUCAUGAAUCAUCAGACAAAGUUCAGCUGGAAUCUCAGUGAGUAUCAGAUCAGAUCUUUGUCUUGAGCUCAUGUGAAGGUGCUACAAAAAGGUCAAGAUGAAGAUUUCUCCCCUCUCUCUUCAGCUACUGUUUUAACUUUACUCUGUGUGUGUGUGUGUGUGUGUGUGUGUGUGUGUGUGCGCGCGCGCGCGUGCACCUGUGUGUGUGUGCACCUGUGUGUGUGUGCACCUGUGUGUGUGUG
ensembl:lncRNA AF4/FMR2 family member 1-like